rnacentral:rRNA from 1 species
ACCGCAUAAGCGCACAGCAUCGCAUGAUGCAGUGUGAAAAACUCCGGUGGUAUGAGAUGGACCCGCGUCUGAUUAGCUUGUUGGUGAGGUAACGGCCCACCAAGGCGACGAUCAGUAGCCGGCCUGAGAGGGUGACCGGCCACAUUGGGACUGAGACACGGCCCAAACUCCUACGGGAGGCAGCAGUGGGGAAUAUUGCACAAUGGGGGAAACCCUGAUGCAGCGACGCCGCGUGAAGGAAGAAGUAUCUCGGUAUGUAAACUUCUAUCAGCAGGGAAGAUAAUGACGGUACCUGACUAAGAAGCCCCGGCUAACUACGUGCCAGCAGCCGCGGUAAUACGUAGGGGGCAAGCGUUAUCCGGAUUUACUGGGUGUAAAGGGAGCGUAGGCGGCGGAGCAAGUCAGAAGUGAAAGCCCGGGGCUCAACCCCGGGACGG